CUCUCACAGUUACAAUUAAAUUUACCUCCCAGAAUCUGGGAGGCACGUGACCAGCCGCAGCCAGGGUCUCUCCCAGAUGACAGACGGAGAGACCCUGGGAACGAGGUUGUAUCUUGAACUGCUUUUUCUCGGUUUUCUGUAGUUAAAACUUUAUUCGCAAAACCACUCGUACUGAGAAGUGUAAUGAUUUUGUCACAAGCAUUCACAUUCAACAGUUCGUCGCUUUUUGCAUUCAUUAUCUAAGAAAAAAUACUGAAUACAAAUUGAUAGUCAUGGAAUUGCAAAAUGGCCGUCUUGCAUCUAGUGUACAUCUGGAUAUGGUUGUUUAACUGCAAGAGGCCCUUCCUUUCCAAAACAUAAACAUCACUGAUUUUCCAAUUUGAAUUAUGCUAAUUAUAGUUGAAAAUAUACUAGGUAAAAUGGUGUCCUAUAUCAAGAC
rnacentral:lncRNA from 1 species